UGUGCAGGCGGACCUAUUAGUCAGUGGUGAAAUCCCGGGGCUCAACUCCGGAACUGCCAUUGAUACUGUAGGUCUUGAGUUUGGUUGAAGUGGGCGGAAUGUAGCAUGUAGCGGUGAAAUGCAUAGAUAUGCUACAGAACACCGAUCGCGAAGGCAGCUCACUAAACCAAAACUGACGCUCAGGCACGAAAGCGUGGGUAGCGAACAGGAUUAGAUACCCUGGUAGUCC
rnacentral:rRNA from 1 species